rnacentral:lncRNA from 1 species
ACAGUGAACUCCGCAUCGACUCACGCGUUCACCUCCUUCCGGUCUAAAUGUUCUGUUCGGUUCUAUUUUGGUGGGGCCCACGCGUCAUCACAGAGUAUCUGGGAGCCCUGCCCUCUUGCAGAUGGGAAUGAAGGCCCAGGUGCUCUGGAGAGGUGACUCUCCUCUAGUUGUCUCGCUUCUCAGAAAGGAAACACUGGUUCUGUAAACCUGUUUGAGAAGAAAAGCUCGAGGUUUCUUGGCCUCUCUGCUUCUGGAGCCAGGGGAAAAAAUAGCCCCAGGCUGAAGACAGGAGGGACCAGAUUGCUGCUUGGUGAUGCGAUCUCACUGCAGAGGCAGCCAGGAGACCCUCCUGAGACGAAUCGGAGAGUCCAUGCUGCUUUUACACACAUCCUAGUUCUUUUAUAACUAGCCUUUUCCUAUUAACGGACAUCAUUCAAAAGCCAGUUUUAAGCAACAUAAAUAUUGAAAACAAUACUAUACUAUUUAGAAUUAAUUAUAAGUUUUGUUUUUAAAGCCUAAAUCUUUUAUUGUUGUUUGAACCCUGGGCACUGAAGCUAAUAAUGUAACUUUUCUCCCUUCUUUCUUCUUUGGCAUAGAUUUAAAGAACUGUUAGACUCAUUUAAAAUGCUAUUAGGCAUUUUAAAGAGUAAUUGUUAAAUGUGUUGUCUCUUGUGGGACUGGAAAUGUUCUGUUCUUAUCUGGCGCUGGUUACAUCCUGUUUUUCAUUUGGGAAAGUGCAUUGAGCUGGAAAUUUAUAUGUUCAAUUUCUGUAUGUAAAUUGUACUUCAGUAAAAAUUUUCAAAAAA